CCUUAGGAAGUCAAAUGCCAGACCAAUAUCCUGUUUCUCCAUUCCGGUGCUUGACUUUGGCUGCUGCCCCACUGGAAAUGGAUUACACUAACCCUGUGUGUGCUGCCACUGGUGUGUUAGAGGAAGACUCCAAAAAGAAUAAGCAAUGGUUGGGUAUUUCUUCUUGCGUGCAGCACGGCUAGCUACUGUAUGCCAGUUCCACACGGCGCUCUAUUUAUAGCUGGGUUCUGUUUUCAUUUAAAAUAGCCAUAUGCUGUUAGGCCUUUGUCAGAUAAGAUAAGCAGCCUUUAGCUCGCAAAACCUCAGACGCGGACUGCGCCUAAAACAGCAAACAGAACAAUGCAAAAAUGGGGCUAGACCUGGAAAAGACAACAGGGAAGGAGACUCAUGAAACUGCAAGCUAGGCAUGCACUUGAGUGUAGACAUCAUAGCGGAGGGACAUUACACAUGCGUCAUCCAUCUAACAGAACAUAAAGUACUUCAAGUCCACGAGCAGAUGAAAAGUUUCUGGGCUACGACAUCACCGCUGUCUACCAGACGCCUUUAAGAAGAGGGCUCAUUCUGCUGAACGACGGGACAGCCCAGAAUCUGAGCCGGACUUGAGUAAGACGGUCUGGACUGAGGUGGGGGAAGGGUUGACUGACUGUCUGCCCGCUUCAGCCCGCAGUGGACCAAUUCCCAGCAAUAACACCAGCAGACGUACAUGCAGCUUUGAUACCUAUUUGAUGACUUAGUAGGAAAUAAAGGAUGAUUCACUGUUCCUUUUAGCAGAUGCCACAUCAACAGAUUUGCCAAGUACUCCAAGGCUGAUCAUGCUGGGUUCAUUGUGAGAAUCAAUCCAGACAAAAGCAAGUGCUCCAGAUCACCAACAGAAGUGGCAAGACUGUGAAAAGAAAGAACUCUGACCUGAAUCCUCGUGUCGCCUACUUCAUCAGGGAUCCAAGUUUGCAAAAUUAUUAAUCUACAACAGCAGAGUACGUUGUGCUCAGGAGAGUUUAUGUAAGAAAGUAUUUAAGUGAAUAACUAUAAAAUAAAACAAUCUUAAAGUUAAAAUGUCAUUGCAAGAAUGAAAAUGCUUACAUGCCUGUGGUUUAUUAGUAUGGACAUACAGAAAUGUUUAAAUAAUUUAAAGCUCUAAGUGAAACUGUAAGGAGUGGGAAUGUAGCUCAUUAUGAUACAAUAAAAAUAACUGAUUUUAAUGAUUUGGCAGCAUUUUGAAGAUCCACUGAACAAUAAAACAUUUA